GUAGGUGAACCUGCGGAAGGAUCAUUACCGAGUUAGGGUUCGUCCAACGAGCCCGACCUCCCAACCCUUUGUCUAUUUUACCUUGUCGUUGCUUCGGCGGACCGGUCGCGACCAACUGGUCGUGGCCGCCGGGGGUCCACCUCCUGGAGAGCGUCCGCCGAUGGCCCAACCACAAACUCUUGUAUCAAACCAUGUCGUCUGAAUUACUUGAUUAAAAUCAAAAAACAAAACUUUCAACAACGGAUCUCUU
rnacentral:misc_RNA from 1 species